rnacentral:ncRNA from 1 species
AUUGCGGAAGCCGAAAAGCAGGAAGAGUAGGCA